rnacentral:rRNA from 1 species
UAGCAAUACGUGGCAUACGGCUCAGUAACACGUAGUCAACAUGCCCAGGGGACGUGGAUAACCUCGGGAAACUGAGGAUAAACCACGAUAGGUCAUAAUAUCUGGAAUGAUUUAUGGCUAAAAUCUACAUGGCCCCUGGAUUGGACUGCGGCCGAUCAGGCUGUUGGUGAGGUAAUGGCCCACCAAACCUAAAACCGGUACGGGCUCUGAGAGGAGAAGCCCGGAGAUGGGCACUGAGACAAGGGCCCAGGCCCUAUGGGGCGCAGCAGGCGCGAAAACUCUGCAAUAAGCGAAAGCUUGACAGGGUUAUUCUGAGUGAUUUCCGCUAAGGAAAUCUUUUGGCACCUCUAAAAAUGGUGCAGAAUAAGGGGUGGGCAAGCCUGGUGUCAGCCGCCGCGGUAAUACCAGCACCCCGAGUGGUCGGGACGAUUAUUGGGCCUAAAGCAUCCGUAGCCGGUUCUACAAGUCUUCCGUUAAAUCCAUCUGCUUAACAGAUGGGCUGCGGAGGAUACUAUGGAGCUAGGAGGCGGGAGAGGCAAGCGGUACUUAGUGGGUAGGGGUAAAAUCCGUUGAUCCACUGAAGACCACCAGUGGCGAAGGCGGCUUGCCAGAACGCGCUCGACGGUGAGGGAUGAAAGCUGGGGGAGCAAACCGGAUUAGAUACCCGGGUAGUCCCAGCUGUAAACGAUGCAGACUCGGUGAUGAAUAGGCUUCGUGCCUUUUCAGUGCCGCAGGGAAGCCGUUAAGUCUGCCGCCU